rnacentral:misc_RNA from 1 species
ACUCUUCCCCAUUUUGCUCUUAUUCUUGCAUGAAAUAUGGAGCUUCUGGCCUUUAGGAGGACUUUCAAAGGACCAUGAAAAGCUCUCAUCGAACUCUGGAUUAGGACCAGUUGAAACAACCUUCGUUUGGCGAGGUGGAGUAUUUCCAAGGGUAAGCUUGCAAAAAACGCUUGGAUUUCCAACCGAUUGCCUCAUGUUGUUCCCUCGUUUUAUUAUUACCACCAGAGUACCAGGCAAACAUUGCAGUAAAAAUUCUGACUUCUCCUGAAACCGAGGGGGUCCAGAUUGUAUCAGAUACUGCAACAAUGGAAUGGCAUCUGCAGCAGCAAUUGAUUGUGCCCGAGAAACUUCAGCAGGACAUGCUGACCAAGCUUGGCGGAGAAAAAAAAGAGCAUCCAAAGCAGCUUCUUGAGUUGCCUCGGAACCGGUCUUCAGGGAUGUCACUAAAUGUGGAAUACUCAGGGUUGCAGGUUCAGUAGCCCUUAGACGGGGGAAGUUUCCAAAUAGUGCAUUCAGAGCCUUGAGGUACUCCUCAUUUACAGUGCCCGAGGCCCAUAAAUCUUUCUCAAUUGCAGCAGUGAUAGCCCUGACAGUUUCACUUGAAGCAUACUCUUGAAUGGUGUUAUUGGAAAAGAGAAGCUUGACAAACAUUGCUGCCUGUACUGAUGUAUCUGUCUCACUUGAACCAAUCAGAUCUAACACAACCUGGACACCACCAGCUUCCGCAACUGCUCUCUUAUUUGAUCUGCUAUACAUAACGAGGUUCUGUAAGGCACAUAUAGCGAUCACUUUCAUUUCUUCAGUAGGUUGAUCUUCAAGCAGAUUCACCAAUGCCCGGCAAGCUGAAACAGCAUCACUGCUUCGAGCAAGAGUUUCAUUCUGGAAUAGGUCGCCAAGAGCAAGAGUUGCCAGUAAUCUUGCUUGCUGCCCUUGUGUCUGCGGAUCCAAAAGAUACUGUGAUAAGGGCACAAUUGCUGACUUGGUGGCUUUUGUUUCUCUAAUCUUCACAUUGUUCAGCAAAACCUCAAGGAGUCUCGCAGCAGUUUCCUCACAAAGGUGGCAUCUGAGAAGUUCUAAGAGAGACUCGAUCGCCCCACUUUCAGCCAUAGCUCCAGCACUGGUGGAGUCAUCAGUCUCCAACACAAGAAGAGCAUUUAAUGCACCAAGAACUGUGCCUUCAGAGCCAGAGCGAAGCAAUCUUACCAACACUACAACAGGUACUUCCAGAAAAAAUUCAGAGCUAAAUUGUAGAAUGCUGGAUAAUACUACAGCAGCUGACUCCCACAAGGCAUGAGGGAGUGAAGGGUCAGCAUUCAUUAUUACUUUAGAAAGUUCAUUGACGCCGCCUUCUUUUGCAAUUUCAUUUGGCCAAGUAAGUGCAAUACAGACUAAGGCCUUCACAGCUCUCUGCUGCAAAAUGGGUAUACCAGAACCAAGGACCCGUACAAGGGGACCAAUCACUUGCUGGAUAACUGGGUCCUUCUGCAGGUGCUCUUCCAAAAGCAGGUGAGACAGAAGCUCAGCAGCCAGUUGUUGCACGGCAGAAGCGGGAGAGUCAAGUAAGGGAAUAAGAGGUUCAAUAGCUUGGUGUGAUGUCAAGGUAUAAUCAGAUCGGCACUGCGGAUGCUCUAGGAUAUUCACAAGGACCUGAAGCGUGCUGUGCUGCCCAUCAGGUCCAAACUCUGGUCUCAUCAGCAAUACAAAAAGUGGCUCUACCACCUUUGCAGCAGAUGGUCCCUUAGCAAUGGUAGCAUUAUUUGUCAGUAUUCUGAGCAAUUCAGCAAAUGCAGCACAAAGGAAAUCUGGUGCUUCAUGCAGAAUGUCAAGCACACUCUCAAUAACCCCAGCCUUGACCAUUUCCAUCUUACAGGAAGGCCUGUCCUUCCCCAACUUCACAAGAGCUCUAGAAAUAGCUUCAUGAAGUAAAUAAUUUCGUCCAUAAAGAAGGCCAACAAGGGGAAUGACUGCACCAUGUGCUGCAACUAGUUCAGCCAGCUGUUCGUCGUCCACUAGUUUAUCUAAUGCACGAA